UUGUGCCGUCGUGAUGUCGUUGCCGUCGUCGCAUCCGUCGUCGUUGUCGUUGUUGUUGUCGCCGCACUCCAUCUAGUUGUUGUUGGUGCAGCAGGCAGUACAGCAACAGCAACCAAAUCACAUACCAGGCUUUGGCGCCAGCAAACAACAAUUAACGAAGCGAAAAGCAGCAACAAACAAACAAAAUGAGUUCGCUAAACGGAAAAUUAAUUUGCGCAUAUGGAAUGCUGCACACAUAGAUAUAUAUAGCCCUACAUACAAGCAUAUAUAUAGAUAUAUACGUAUAUGUUAUACACACACAAAUCUACAUAAAAUCUAAGUGCAAACCAAUUGUGAUUUAAGCUAAUGACCACAACUACAAAACAGCUCCAACAACCUACAAGAAAGUGUAUAAAAAAUUUUUCAAGUUUUUUAAGUAUAUGAAAUUUAAAUCAACCCUUGUAAAUAGCCAACAAAAUAACUAAAGAACAAGAACUCUUUUCUUAUAAAAAACAAAAAGAAAACAACAGCAUAUAAAACCAAAUAAAUUAACUCAACUAAGGAAAGCCACAAACAACGAACGAAUAGACAACGCCGUCUGCAGAGCAAUCUGAUAGAGAAAUGCAUUGCUAAACAGCUAGGGGCUACUUAUUUCCUUUCAACCCAGUGGCCUGCAAUUCGAAACGAUCUCAACGCAAAAAUGGCACUGCAACGCACUGGGCAGCAACAGCAACACAAGACGCAACUAACUCGACACGGGCUGCAGCAACAACAACAGCAAUUAGAAACAACAACAAAGGCCCGGCAACGAUAUAGAGCGUUGGAAAAAUGAAACAAAAGUCCGAAUCGAGUUUUCCACUAAAAUUUGCAUUCCGCCGAAGACAUACAAAGGUCUAAGCAAGGAGGAAGGAACCAAAACAAACAAACAAACCAACAAACUGAGCAGAAUAAGAAAGUCGCCAGUGAAAAGGGGUCAGAGGGCACACGCACACACACACACACAAGGGCUCAGAAAAAAAACCAAACACAGGAGCAGACCGCAACACAAGUAAAAGCAUACGGAGCGCAAAAAACACACAACACAUUCAACACACGGACACAGAAGGACGAGGAGUGCAUUGUAAACAAUUUUCAACGAAUUUCCAAAAGUCUACUAAAUAAAAUAACUAACAAGCGUUCAUUACGAAUAACAAAAGGAAACCAUAAAAUUUGAAAUUUGCUCUGUGAUUUUCUAUCGGAAAUGGUUAAGUAAUCCAAAAAAAUAAUUAUAUUUAAUAACAACGUAUUUAUAAAUACUGCGAAACUGCAUUCCAAGAAAAGUUUAUCAAAUCCCCCAAGAAAAGCUUUAAAUUCAAUCGAAAACGUAAAUCAACAAUUUCUAUGAAUAUAAGCAAGCAAACUUAUUACACUGCGACUAAGAAGACCAGCCAACGCUACUGAAAAAUCCAACUUCGACCACAACCACAAUUCUACCAAAGAACACCCGCACACCGGAGCCAUGGACGAAAUGCCCGACCUAUCACACCUCACCCCCCACGAGCGGAUGCAGAUCGAGAAUGUCCUUAUGCGGCAGAAGCAGGAGGAGGAGAAGCAGAACGAGAUCAUGCGACGCAAACAGGACGAGGUGGUGACGCUAGAAAUGCAAAUCAGACAGCGAUCCGAGCAGCAGAAGAAGGCCGGCGUCGAGCUGGAUGCCACCUGUCACAUAUGCCUUAAGACCAAGUUCGCAGACGGAGUUGGCCACAUCUGCCACUACUGCAACAUCCGCUGCUGCGCCAGGUGCGGCGGCAAGGUGACGCUCCGCAGCAACAAGGUCAUUUGGGUGUGCAUAUUGUGUCGCAAGAAGCAGGAACUGCUCUCCAAGACUGGCCAAUGGAUUAACAAGACGGCGGCCCAACAAGAUGGUUUCAUCCGACGCAUCGAGCCGGAUGGGAGCAGCGACAUCUCGCAGCAUCCCAUCGUGGACCCGCACGACACCACGGACAAGCGGCCCAAGCUGGAGAGGACGCGCAGUGCCGCCGAGAAGGAGAACCUACCCAUGCAGCGGGCGGGCAGCAUGCUGAGGCGCCAGUACUCGCAGCAGGAGCAGCCCACGAACCGCCGCCUCUCGGCAUCCGACAGCGGCAUGGAUCCCGUGAUGAGUCCUGGCCAGCAGAUGCAGCACCACCAGCAGCAGCAGCGAUCUCGAAUGCAGCCGAUGAAUCCGCAGCAGGCGCAGCAGGGAUACGGCGUGCAGCAGCAGCAGCAGCCGCGAUCCGGAGGCGCCUAUCCUGAUGAUGACCCCAGAUACUAUCAGGGUGAACUGGAUGGUUUGAUGAGGCAGCAUCCUCACUUGGCGCAUCCCAGUCAGGUGCAGCCGCAACAUCCGCCGCAGUCGCAGUCGCACUCGCAACAGCAGCAAUCCCAGCAUCAGCAGCAACAUCUUAUGCCGCAGCAACAUCGCCCAUCGCCGCAGCAACAUUCCCAGCAGCAGCAGCAACACUCGCAGCAAUUCGCGGCCAGGCAGCAGCAGCAGCACCAGCAGCAGCAUCAGCAGCACCAGCAGCACCAGCAGCAGCAUCAGCAGCAAGUGCAGCAAUCGUACCACGCGCAGAUCCACCAGCAGCCGCAGCAACAUCCCCCCUCGCAGCAGCAGCAGCAUCAGCCGCACCAGCAGAUGCAGCAGCCACAUGGCCAGCCAAUGCAGAUGGGCGGCUACCAGAAGCCGCCACCCCUGACCCGCAACCUGACCAUCAGCGGUGGUCAUGCGAUGGACUCCAGUGCCUACAGCCAGCAACAGCAGCAGCAGCGACGAGCUCUCUCAGGAUCGCAGUACGCCUCGCAGCAGCAGAGGUCCUUCAGCAGCUCCGAGGAGGAGUUCCAGCACCAGCUGUUGGCUGCCCAGGGCGCAGUGACGGUCACCGCGGGAUCGGACUAUGACGGCGGGCGCCUCCAGGUGCGCACCUCAUUGGAUCCGUGGCGCCAGCAGCGCAGCCUCAACGAACGGGAUCUGCUCAGCAGCGGCGGCGGUGGUGGUGGCGUCGGUGGGGCUGACUUCCGCCACCUGUCGAACGCCACCCAGCGGCUGUACGCCUCCGCCGAUCAGCGGGAUCGCUACGAACUGCAGCUGCAGCACCGCGAGCGUCUGGAGCAGUAUCCCCUCACGCGUACCGCUCGCCUGGACGUCCAGCAGCGCAACUCGCUGAACCGCAGCAACCACGAGCGGCAGUUUUCUGGCGGCGGACCAGGCGGAGGGCCAGGAGGAGCGGGUGGUGGUGGUGCUGCUGGCGUCUACCGACGUGCCCCGCCCUUGGCAGCCGCCGGCGGCGGUGGCAGCAGCAGCAGCAGCACCACUAGCAGCAGCUACUAUCCCCAGUCGAAGCCGCAGAUUGUGAUUGGUCCGGGAUCGGGCUACGAACGGGGAUCGGGAUCCAUGGCUUCCAUGGCAUCGGCAUCGGCAGCGGCGGCGACAGCGGCGGACGCCCAAGGUCAGGCGGUGCGGGGCAGCCAGCGUGGUGGUCUGCUGGGCGCCACGAGAGGCGGCGGUGGCAGCAGUUCCGUCAGUUCGACGGAGGCUGCCUACUGGGACGAACCGGCUACCAGUUCCUCCUCAUCGGCGGCCCAAGACUCGCGGCGAUUCACCGAGCGUAGAAUAAAGAAAACGGUGCGUUUCGAUGCCCACGACGAAGAGGCCUCCAUACUGGCCAGCAGUUCACUGCCACCGGUCACGGCAAUCCUGCCCUCCACGGCCGUGGAUGUGGGUGCAGCCACAAUUCUGAGCAGUGGAAAGAGCCUAGAUACCAGCGGAGUUGGCGGAGCUGACUGGUCGCGAUGGGAGACCGAGCGACAGGGAAGCCAGGACUCGGCCACCAAGGAUUCGGGCAUCGAUACCAGCAGCACGUUCACCAGCAGCGAGGACUCCAAUCGAGGAGAUGGGCCCAAGAAUCCGGUGAAUUGGCAAACAUCCGCGGACAAUACUCGCCUGAUCGGGCACAUGAUAUUGCGUAAAUACUAUGAUGGGGAGGAUAUAUUAGGCUUAAAGGUGAACGGCGGUCAGCCCCUCGCAACGGGAGGAUCGGGAGCGGGAACGGGAGCAGCGGUAGGAGCAGGAGGUCCAUGCGGGGCCAUUGUGGAGAAGGUGAAGCGCGGAUCGGUGGCCGAUCUCGAGGGAAGGAUUCGACCAGGCGACGAGAUCCUCGAGUGGAAUGGCCGCGGGCUGCACAACAAAAGUGCCGACGAGGUCUACGACAUCAUCGACGAGAGUCGCCUCGACGCCCAGGUGGAACUGAUCGUCAGCCGGCCGAUCGGCAGCGGCGGCGGCAGUGGCGGGAGCAGCAGCAACGUCAGUCCCAUCAGCGGAGCCUCCGGCGGAUCCGCCAACAGCGUCUCCGCUCGCCGCUCCUCGGCCAACUUCCCGCACAGCGGAUUGGCAAGCAGCAUGGCCGGCAGUGCGGUGGUCAGCAGCGGGGGAAGAUAUCUGCAGCGCAAAGCUCCCGCGGUCGAGGCCAUUGAAAUCCAUCGGGACAAGCCGAGCGUGCUAAUCACCUCGCCCGGCUCGCCGGACAUCCACACCAGUGUUUCCGGACCGGGAUCGGUAUCAGGAUCAGGACUCCGGCAACGUGGCGGCGUCGGGCAGACGCAGCGCCUGGGACCAAGCCACAGCACCCACAGCCACAGCAGCAGCGGGAGUGGCAGCGGCAGCGGCAGCAGCACUAGCAGCGUCCACGCCCCCGCCUCCGCCCACGGCCCCGCCCACGCGUUGUCGUCCGCUUCCGGUUCCGCCCCUGGCGGCCUGCACGGCACAACGACGGCGGGCCACCAUUACCACCCGCACCCGCACCACUACCACCCGCACCAGCAUCCGUAUCCGCCCGCCGCCCACCUACAAGGCCAAGGGGUGGGCGGUGGCACCGGCACCGGCAUCGGCAUGGGCAGCGGAACCGGCACCACCACACAGCCCAUCCCCAUCGAGGGGCGGCUGCAGCUGAAGCUGGGCUACGACCAGAACACCCUGCAGCUGAUUGUGACCCUGGUCUGCGCCACCGGACUCUCCCUGCGCCAGAGCGGAGCGGGCCGCAAUCCAUAUGCAAAAGUGUUCCUUCUGCCCGAUCGAAGCCACAAAUCCAAGCGGCGGACGAAGACGGUGGGCACCACAUGCGAACCCCGAUGGGGCCAGACCUUUGUCUACUCGGGUCUGAGACGCUGCGACCUCAACGGCCGACUGCUCGAGAUAACGCUGUGGGACUAUGUGCGGUAUGGCGCCAACGACUUCAUCGGCGAGGUGGUCAUCGAUCUGGCGCACCACAUCCUGGACGACGAGGCCGAGUGGUAUCAGCUGCAGCCCCACCAGGACACCUCCUAUCUCUUACGUGACGAGGGCAGCGAUGUGGACGGCCUGAUACUGACACCGACAGAUCAUUUAUCACCGCCGAGCACCGUGUCGCGCCUUAGUGAUUCGGACACCACGUCCGACUGCGACAUCGAUGGAAUGACUCCGGGGGCCAGCAUCUCGUCCAUGGGCAGCUCAGCGAGUCCGCCGCCCCUGCUAGAGCUCGAUCUAAACGAGCGUCGGUCCCGACGUGACAUGUCGCCCCAGGGCCGCAAAAGGGUGGCCGGGAUGGUGGCCCGCGACUACCGCACUGUAUCUGGCAUUGGACAAAGUUACCACAAUCAGGCCUCUGCCACCGGCUACUAUCGUCGCGGAGGUGGUAACGGUGUCGGCUCCGCCAUCGGUCCCGGUGGCAUGAGCCUUAGCCAGCGGAGUCACUCGGCGGCACCUAGCGACGGUUACCACAGCAGCAGCGGCGUAGUAGGAGGAGUUCCCUCCGGUGGUUCCGCCUACGGCUAUCGGAGCACCAGUCCCCGGCGGGGCUCCUUGUCGCCACCCGACGACCGUUACAUAGACUAUCCAGUGCUUCCAGUACACGGCUCCUCGCCCAACGCCCCAUCGGUCUACCAGGGACCGGGUGGUGCGUCCUCAGCGGCGGCGUCUGCUUCGCAGCAGCAGCGAUUCCAGUCGCGCUCGGCCACAGCUACGCCCACAGGGUCCCCAAAGAAGAGGCAACUACCACAGGUGCCGCAGACCUCCCGCAGUGCGAUGCUGCGAGAUCGACUGGGUCAGGACUUCGACGAGCGGUUGGCCUCGGGUGGUCGCUUCGGGCGGCACCGCACACGGCAGCCGCACCACCAGGCGACCUACCGCAGCACCGGAAUGGGUGGAUGGGAGCGCCACUACACGGGUCUGUCGGAUAGCGACCUGCACUCUAUGGACGCGCGGAUGCGACCAAGACACUCGCUGUCGCCGGACAAGGACUUCAUGGGCGAGUUCGGCGACUCGGACAUGGAGUCGGUAGUCAGCGUGACCUCCAGCGCCUUCUCCACGCAGUCGGAGCGGCCGCGCACGUCGCGCGGACUCAGCUUCCCCCGCAACUGGCGCAAUCUCUUUGGCGUUCGAAACAGUUUCCUCGGGGGAGCAGGAGGCGAACCCAUCACUGGACUGCGGCUACACCACUCGGAGCCCGGAAGGGCCAACACCAUCGAAGUGGAUGACUGCGACUAUCUGCCGGCGGGCGGUGCCCAGCAGUUGGUGUUGCUGGAGCAGCUGGAGCAACUGCAGCAGCUGGCCGCUCUGGCGGCAGCAGACUCUCCACCCAUUUCGGCGGGAAUUGGAUUACAGCCACCUCACCAGGUUUUGGUGACUGAUGCCAACAGCGGCCAGCUGGUGGAACAAUUCUACGUUGAGCCCGGCACAAUGGCCGAGGAGAUGAUGGAGCCACUCGAUCCACUCGAUCCCCAUGCGCAUUUGCAUCCACAUCCCGUCUUUUACUCGCCAUCGCCCCAUUUGCCACCACAGCCAUUCAACAUCGAUAUCGAUACCAUCUAUCCACCACGACGGUCCAACGGACAGAAACCGAACGUACAAGCCACCGCCGCUGCCUUUCCGCUGCCGCUGCUGCCGAGCUUUGAGCAAUUCAAGCGCAUUACCACGCCCAUCACGAAUUUCUUCCGCAGCUCCUCACCCGCGGGCGUUCACCCCCACGCCCACGACCACGCCUCUACGACGCCCAGUUCGCUGGUGGGCUAUGUGCGCGACCACCAGGACAAGAGCUGCAGCCACUGCCAGAAUGGAAGUCAGCCGGUGGUGCUCUCCACGCACCACACCCUUCACCUGACCGCCGCAGGUCUGGCGAUCGGCGCUUGCCAGGAUCCCUGCUGUCUGGCGGAUGCCCAUCCGCACCCGCAGCACCAGCCCAUGGGCUAUGGGGAGCCACCCACUUCGGAUCCUGCAAUGUGCGGAGAGUGUGUGGAUCAGCACUUCCUGGGCGGACUAACGGGACCGCAACUGAAUCUCGGUGUGGUUCCCACUUACCAUGUCCACACGCCCACUCCGAAUGCCCAUCGGCGUGCUAGGGGACAAAUGGCCACGCCUGCACCACCGCCCACACAGUCGGUGCUGCGCCUUUCGCGCCAGUUGAGCGAAGAUGCUCUCGUUGCUGCCGUUCCCAUUUCGGAGUCCAAGGCGCAACCAACUUCGAUCCUGAAGAAACCGAAGCUGGAGCGAAGGCGACUUUUUCACGAAGGACAAUCCCGGUCGCUAGACUACGAUGAUCUGCACACGAAGAGCUGGGGUCGACGUCGCAUUCGGUACGAGGACGAGGUAAUGCCCUCGUCUGUGGACUAUCCGUAUCCCCACCCGAAUCCGUAUGUCAGCCACUCACCCACAGCGGCGAUGUCGCGGCGCUACGGCUCGGAGACCAAUAUUCGACAGAGUUAUAUGGGUGCAAAUGUGGAUGCCAACCAUCCGCUGAGUCACUCGCAUUUCCUGGUAACCGAUGACAAGAUAGUGACUAUUACCUAUGACUCCGAUGUGGGCUGGACGCGACGGGGCGUGGCUCCGUCGCUCUUUCGCGGAGCUCAUCGUCAACGCGGACUGGCGGAUCCCAGGAAUUACAUGUCGCUGGAUUUGCAGCGAACGAGUCAACAGAAGUUGUACGGACCGGCGGCGCCGUAUCUGAAGCGUCGCAGGAAUCUGCCGCAUCCGCCCAGUGCGCAGAAUGCCCACAACUUUUCACCAAUGGAGCCGGGAUCAGAAAUGGAUGGGCUGAAUGCUGCAGCAGCGGGAAUGGUGGAACAGGGCAACGGAAUGGGUAGCGGUGGUGCACAUAACACUACCAGUACACACAAUAGCAACCACCACACCAACCACCACAAUAGCCAAGCGAGUAGUGUUAGUGUUAGCCAAAGUCACGAUCAACAACUUCAACAACAACAACAAUUACAACAACAACCAGUUAGGCAAAAAGGGAAAGAAGGCACCACCGCCAUUAGCGGAUCGAUGAUGGCAUCGGAGCAGCUGACGAAAUCUAGUAGUGGGAGCGGUGGUGCAACAUCUGCUGCCGCUGCUGGGCAUCUUGUCGUCGGUGGUACUAAUGCUAAUAAUGCUUCUUCUUCCUCUUUUGCAAAUCCCCAACCAACACCACAACAACAACAACUUCAUGGAUCACCCAACAAUCUCAACAACAAUAACAAACGUGCCCCAUCAUCAACACCACAACAAAACACGAACACCAUAAAUGACGCCAACAACCUGACGCUUGACGCCACACAUCAACAAUCACAACAACGACAAUUACAACAACCACCAAAUACAUGCACAAAUCAAAACACGAAUCCAACAACCACAUUAACAACAACAACCACAACAUCGUCGAAUGCAACGAAUGCGGCGACAACGACAACCGCAAAUGCAACAAAUGCUACAACAACUGCCACAAAUUCAACAACGAAUAACACGAACGAACCAAACGCAACAACAACAACCACAACGAACGCUAAUGUUGACGCCGAUACGGACGCGGACGCGGAUGCUCCGCUGGACGCCAUCGACUGGGAUGCCAUCGAUGCGAUGCUGGACGACGACUUCAGCGAGUACGACAAGGACAAGAACGGGGCCGACGAGGCUGGUGGCGCCAAGUCAGCGGAGAGUGCGUGUGCCGAAGAUAAAGUCGAUGGCAGCCUCUCGGACACCGCGAACGAUCGAAAGAAGGGCGGCGGCGUCGACCAGGAGCGAUCCCCAAAAGGAGGCAGCGGCAUGGGCAAGAAGUCGAACUCAACCUCGCAGCUUUCGGCCACAGGUCGUAAAAGACGUAUGGGCUUUGGAAAGAAGGGUAAGAACUCGUUCACGGUGCAUCGCAGCGAAGAAGUGCUGCCUGGCGAUAUAACGCGGGAACUGCGAACCGGUGGCGGAUUGGGCGUCAGUCUUGGCGGUGCCGGUGGUGCCGCCGGUGGGUCAGGUGGUGCCGGCGGGGGCGGCCUGUCCCGCGGCUCGUCCUCGGAGGCGGACGCCAUCGAACAGUUCUUUGGCGAUGGUGCCGGCGGGGAAAGAUUCUCCCCUUCUUUGCGCAACGAUGGAGCCCUCAAUGAGUUCGUGGAUGGCCUGGGACCUGGUCAACUGGUUGGUCGCCAGGUGCUGGGAGCUCCCUCGCUGGGCGACAUCCAGCUUUCGCUGUGCCACCAAAAGGGCUGUCUGGAGGUGGAGGUUAUACGUGCCAGGGGCUUACAGCAAAAAGCCCAGUCAAAAAUGCUGCCUGCUCCGUAUGUAAAGGUGUACCUAGUGUCGGGAAAGCGCUGUGUGGACAAGAUGAAGACUUCCUCGGCUCGACGCACCCUGGAUCCACUGUACCAGCAGCAGUUGGUGUUCAAGCAGUCCUACACCGGUUGCAUACUGCAGAUUACCGUGUGGGGCGACUAUGGCCGCAUCGAGAAGAAGGUGUUUAUGGGCGUGGCGCAGAUAAUGCUCGACGAUCUGAAUUUGUCGAAUAUCGUGAUCGGCUGGUACAAGCUCUUUGGCACCACCUCACUGGGUCGUCCGAUUGUUUGGGCCGGCGAAUCAGUCAUUAUGGAGGAGCCGGGCGAAUAACAGUUUCCAACACUAACGACACCCAAACAAACAGCCUCCACAACGAAAACAUUUUAAGCACCCAAGCACAAUUCAAUUCAAGCGAACUUUAAACUGAACUGAAUUUAUAACCAUUCGCCAGUGCUGUCAGCCCGGCAGCCAAAUAGCAAAGGACCAAAGGACAUCCUGCAUCGGUGGAUCCCAGAGGAAGCCGCCCGAUCCUCAUUCGGCAGGUCGCUGGCCUAAGCUAAGUCCACAUCGGUUGAUUUUCUAUUCUACGGCGGCGAAAGACUUUGGAAGAAUAAAAAAUUUAAAUAAUGAUAAAUAUCUAAUUUUUAUAAGUCAUGAAAACAAAUGCAUUUAAAUAAACCGAGAUCAGAAAACAGAGAACACAAGAGCAGAGCAGAGCAGAGCAGAGCAGACUCAGUAAAAUGUUUAAAACGUAACUACGGAAUAAAGCUAAACGAUAAAGGUAGAGGCAGUCUAUGUAUACAUAUACACAUACAAUAACGGAUAACAUUUGACAAAAGGAUACUUGUAAAUUAUGCAUAUUUAAAAUAAUUUUUAUUACACACCUAGAUCACUAUUAUUUUCGUAAUACGAUUACUACGAUUAUUAUUACUUAAACUAUUACUGAUAAAAGCAUAAAAAAACAAAAAAAAGAACAAAAAGAACAAAGAACAAGGAGAAGGUGGAUAAAGUUCAAAUGCUAGUGUCAGUCAUGCCUAAGCCUUAGCCUGAGCAGAGACGCAGAAGGAUAUAAAUUGUUUAUUGAAUAAAUAGCUAAAUCUAAAUCAGUAAAGGGAGUUAUAGAUUUUCAGAGACGGGAGUUAUUUAAGUAUAUAUACACACAUAUAUAAAUAGAUAUAUACAUCAAUAUAUUUACUGUAUAAGCAAGCAAAGAACCACUAACACUUAAAUAAGCCUAACUUACGAUAAAACCGAUAAAGUUAAAGCUUAAGAUUAGGUAACUAAAAGGAAGGGACAUGAGAUAUGUAUUAAUCUAACAAAAAUAACAACAAAUAUUUACCAGGCCAGAAAGACGAGAAAGUUUAACUUAAUAAUGCAAAAUCUGAACCUAAGCUGUACAUAGGAGAUCCACACACGUUACAUGUACACCACAUCCGGAUAUCCGACUACUAAACCAACUACCGCUUCCCCGAUUUGAGGCUAUAUAGCUUUUGGUUCGCUCUGCGCCACCUUAAAAAACUCCGCAGUCACCCCAAAAUGUGCGAGUUUUUGACGUCGGCGAUGAGGAUAUAAACAUAUUUGAGGCAAAAAGUAUCGUUUAAUUUAACUUAACUUAAAGCAUUGGAAAGCUAUCUCUCUAUAUGAAUAUAUUAUAAAGCGAUUUUGUUGUAGCUCCCCUCGCUUCACUAGUCGCUUUAGCAUCCUUUUGCCGCCUUGGUUCCAAUCAACUUGCCUCGAAACGCAUCAAGUACCUUCAAGUUAAUAGUGUGAGCUGUAAAAAUCGUUACCUGCUUGCCAAAGAUACACGUACACGUACAUACAUUAGCAUAUUUAUA